rnacentral:rRNA from 1 species
AACGAACGCUGGCGGCAUGCCUAACACAUGCAAGUCGAACGAGACCUUCGGGUCUAGUGGCGCACGGGUGCGUAACGCGUGGGAACCUGCCUUUAGGUUCGGAAUAACUCAGAGAAAUUUGAGCUAAUACCGGAUAAUGUCUUCGGACCAAAGAUUUAUCGCCUUUAGAUGGGCCCGCGUUGGAUUAGCUAGUUGGUGGGGUAAAGGCCUACCAAGGCGACGAUCCAUAGCUGGUCUGAGAGGAUGAUCAGCCACACUGGGACUGAGACACGGCCCAGACUCCUACGGAGGCAGCAGUGAGGAAUAUUGGGACAAUGGGCGCAAGCCUGAUCCAGCCAUGCCGCGUGCAGGAUGACGGUCCUAAUGGAUUGUAAACUGCUUUAAUACAGGAAGAAACACUACUUACGUGAAGUAG